AUAUUUACCUGGCAGGGGAGACACCAUGAUCAAGAAGGUGGUUCACACAGGGCGAGGCUCGUCUAUUGGACUCUGGCCGUGCUGACUCCUGCGAAUUCCCCAAAUUUGGGAAUCUCGACUGCAUAAUUUAUGGUAGUGGGGGACUGCGUUUGUGCUCUCUCCUG
ensembl:snRNA U1 U1 spliceosomal RNA